UCCUACGGGAGGCAGCAGUGGGGGAUAUUGCGCAAUGGGGGGAACCCUGACGCAGCAACGCCGCGUGGAGGAAGAAGGUCUUCGGAUUGUAAACUUCUUUGACACAGGACGAUAAUGACGGUACUGUGAAAACGAGCCACGGCUAACUACGUGCCAGCAGCCGCGGUAAUA
rnacentral:rRNA from 1 species